UUAAAAAUACUGCGCGAUUUAAGAUUUAAACACGAAACUUACAGAAUACAACAUUUUCUACUGAAUGAAUUUACCUGAUAGUUUUACAUUCUACGAUGUGACAAUCAAUUUACAUGGAUUGCAUUUGCCAUGAAGUAACACUUUCUAUGUGUAGCUAAGUUAAAUCGUUGAAGAAUAAAAUAAUAUAUUUUCCUUUUCUGGAAAAAAAGAUUAUAAAGCGUAUAACAACAGUAACGAAGAGUGUUAUAGGAGAUAUCAGGAAAAAAUGAGACAGAUAUUACGAAGGAAUCGACUUUCACAACGUCACGGAUUCAACAGUAGACAGUUAACAAGGGAGUUAUAUAUUGUGUUUCACAUUUGAAGACAGCAAUUUUAUACAUGUGCUUGAGAGUUAUGGUUUGGUUUUCUUAUAUUUAGCUUUCAUAUAGACAUAUAUGUUUUACAGUAAUUUAAACAUUGAACCUUAAGGAGUUAAAUCUAUUCUACCGGCAAACAUAAUAAUUAUGAUGGAUACAAGAUGUAACAUCUUAAACAUGAAUUUUAAACUUUUUGUUGACCACAAUGUAAACAAUUGUGCUUCUGGAAAUAAAUAUACAAAAAAUG